GACGAACGCUGGCGGCGUGCUUCAUACAUGCAAGUCGAACGAGAAGCUGACUUCGGUCAGUGGAAAGUGGCGGACGGGUGAGUAAUAUGUAGGAAAUCUGCCUUUAGGAGGGGGACAACAGAGGGAAACUUCUGCUAAUACCCCAUAUGAGCGUAGCUGAAAUGCUAUUCUUGAAAACUCCGGUGCCUAAAGAUGAGCCUGCAUCUGAUUAGCUAGUUGGUAGUGUAAUGGACUACCAAGGCGACGAUCAGUAGCUGGUUUGAGAGGAUGAUCAGCCACAAUGGGACUGAGACACGGCCCAUACUCCUACGGGAGGCAGCAGUAGGGAAUUGUGCGCAAUGGGCGAAAGCCUGACGCAGCAACGCCGCGUGAACGAUUAAGCCCUUCGGGGUGGAAAGUUCUGUCAGUGGGGACGAAACUUGACGGUACCCACAGAGGAAGCACCGGCUAACUCCGUG
rnacentral:rRNA from 1 species